rnacentral:lncRNA from 1 species
CAUCAUCCACGAAACAUCUCUCUUUAUCAUCUGAAGACACAAUCACCUAACUAAAUCCAACUAUAAUCUCGUAAAUCACAAAAAAAUAAUUCAAUAUCACAAUCACCUAAGUAAAUACAUAUUGUUCAAGAUCAAUUAAUCCACCAAACAUUUUUGACUAUCUCCUCAAGAUCACAAUCACCUAAAUCUAUUGAAAAAUCUCGUAAUCCAUCAUGCAAUUUGUUCAAGAUCACAAUCGCC